ACAGGGAUUGCCCUAGUAACGGCGAGUGAAGCGGCAACAGCUCAAAUUUGAAAUCUGGCUCUUUCAGAGUCCGAGUUGUAAUUUGCAGAGGGCGCUUUGGCGUUGGCAGCGGUCCAAGUUCCUUGGAACAGGACGUCACAGAGGGUGAGAAUCCCGUACGUGGUCGCUGGCCUUCGCCGUGUAAAGCCCCUUCGACGAGUCGAGUUGUUUGGGAAUGCAGCUCUAAAUGGGAGGUAAAUUUCUUCUAAAGCUAAAUACUGGCCAGAGACCGAUAGCGCACAAGUAGAGUGAUCGAAAGAUGAAAAGCACUUUGGAAAGAGAGUCAAAUAGCACGUGAAAUUGUUGAAAGGGAAGCGCUUGCAGCCAGACUUGCCUGUAGUUGCUCACCCGGGCUUUUGCCCGGUGCACUCUUCUGCGGGCAGGCCAGCAUCAGUUUGGGCGGUUGGAUAAAGGUCUCUGUCAUGUACCUCUCUUCGGGGAGGCCUUAUAGGGGAGACGUCAUGCAACCAGCCUGGACUGAGGUCCGCGCAUUUGCUAGGAUGCUGGCGUAAUGGCUGUAAGCGGCCCGUCUUGAAACACGGACCAAGGAGUCUAACAUCUAUGCGAGUGUUUGGGUGUCAAGCCCGAACGCGUAAUGAAAGUGAACGGAGGUGGGACCCCAUUAGGGUGCACCAUCGACCGAUCCUGAUGUCUUCGGAUGGAUUUGAGUAAGAGCAUGGCUGUUGGGACCCGAAAGAUGGUGAACUAUGCUUGAAUAGGGUGAAGCCAGAGGAAACUCUGGUGGAGGCUCGCAGCGGUUCUGACGUGCAAAUCGAUCGUCAAAUUUGGGCAUAGGGGCGAAAGACUAA
rnacentral:rRNA from 1 species